rnacentral:rRNA from 1 species
CGCGUAGGCGGACUGUUAAGUCGGGGGUGAAAUCCCGGGGCUCAACCCCGGAACUGCCUUCGAUACUGGCAGUCUUGAGUUCGAGAGAGGUGAGUGGAAUUCCGAGUGUAGAGGUGAAAUUCGUAGAUAUUCGGAGGAACACCAGUGGCGAAGGCGGCUCACUGGCUCGAUACUGACGCUGAGGUGCGAAAGCGUGGGGAGCAAACA